AUGCUUACUGUUGUGCUAUCAAACUGUAUCAAACAGGGCGAGGCUCGGCCAUUGCACUCCGGCUGUGCUGACCCCUGCGAAUUUCCCAAAUGUGGAAAUCUCGAAUGCAUACUUUCUGGUAGUGGGGGACUGCGUUCGCGCUCUCCCCUG
ensembl:snRNA U1 U1 spliceosomal RNA